rnacentral:rRNA from 1 species
GAUGAACGCUGACAGAAUGCUUAACACAUGCAAGUCUUUGGUGAAGCUGUGCUUGCACCGCCUAGCCAAGGCGGACGGGUGAGUAACGCGUAAGGAACUUGCCCUGCAGUCAGGGAUAACAGACGGAAACGACUGAUAAGACCUGGUAAAGUCAGGCGGACUCAUGUCCAGCCUGAUGAAAAGAGAUGCUGCAGGAGAGCCUUGCGUCCUAUUAGCUUGUUGGUGGGGUAACGGCCCACCAAGGCAAUGAUAGGUAGCCGGCCUGAGAGGGUGGACGGCCACAAGGGGACUGAGAUACGGCCCUUACUCCUACGGGAGGCAGCAGUGGGGAAUAUUGGACAAUGGGGGCAACCCUGAUCCAGCAAUUCUGUGUGCACGAUGAGGGUUUUCGGAUUGUAAAGUGCUUUCAGCAGGGAAGAAAAAAAUGACGGUACCUGCAGAAGAAGCGACGGCUAAAUACGUG